AACCAUAGAAACCUGCGGAGUACCUGCGGAGGGAUCAUUACCGAGUUUACAACUCCCAAACCCCUGUGAACAUACCAAUUGUUGCCUCGGCGGAUCAGCCCGCUCCCGGUAAAACGGGACGGCCCGCCAGAGGACCCCUAAACUCUGUUUCUAUAUGUAACUUCUGAGCAAAACCAUAAAUAAAUCAAAACUUUCAACAACGGAUCU
rnacentral:misc_RNA from 1 species